GACAUCCACAGAACUUUCCAGAGAUGGAUUGGUGCCUUCGGGAACUGUGAGACAGGUGCUGCAUGGCUGUCGUCAGCUCGUGUUGUGAAAUGUUGGGUUAAGUCCCGCAACGAGCGCAACCCUUAUCCUUUGUUGCCAGCGGUCCGGCCGGGAACUCAAAGGAGACUGCCAGUGAUAAACUGGAGGAAGGUGGGGAUGACGUCAAGUCAUCAUGGCCCUUACGACCAGGGCUACACACGUGCUACAAUGGCGCAUACAAAGAGAAGCGACCUCGCGAGAGCAAGCGGACCUCAUAAAGUGCGUCGUAGUCCGGAUUGGAGUCUGCAACUCGACUCCAUGAAGUCGGAAUCGCUAGUAAUCGUGGAUCAGAAUGCCACGGUGAAUACGUUCCCGGGCCUUGUACACACCGCCCGUCACACCAUGGGAGUGGGUUGCAAAAGAAGUAGGUAGCUUAACCUUCGGGAGGGCGCUUACCACUUUGUGAUUCAUGACUGGGGUGAAGUCGUAACAAGGUAACCGUAGGGGAACCUGCGGUUGGAUCAC
rnacentral:rRNA from 1 species